UGGGGAAUAUUGCACAAUGGGCGCAAGCCUGAUGCAGCCAUGCCGCGUGUGUGAAGAAGGCCUUCGGGUUGUAAAGCACUUUCAGCGAGGAGGAAGGGUGGUGUGUUAAUAGCACAUUGCAUUGACGUUACUCGCAGAAGAAGCACCGGCUAACUCCGUGCCAGCAGCCGCGGUAAUACGGAGGGUGCAAGCGUUAAUCGGAAUUACUGGGCGUAAAGCGCACGCAGGCGGUCUGUUAAGUCAGAUGUGAAAUCCCCGCGCUUAACGUGGGAACUGCAUUUGAAACUGGCAAGCUAGAGUCUUGUAGAGGGGGGUAGAAUUCCAGGUGUAGCGGUGAAAUGCGUAGAGAUCUGGAGGAAUACCGGUGGCGAAGGCGGCCCCCUGGACAAAGACUGACGCUCAGGUGCGAAAGCGUGGGGAGCAAACA
rnacentral:rRNA from 1 species